UACGUAGGGUGCAAGCGUUGUCCGGAAUUAUUGGGCGUAAAGAGCUCGUAGGCGGUUUGUCGCGUCGAAUGUGAAAACCCGGGACUCAACCCCGGGCCUGCAUUCGAUACGGGCAGACUAGAGUUCGGUAGGGGAGUCUGGAAUUCCUGGUGUAGCGGUGAAAUGCGCAGAUAUCAGGAGGAACACCGGUGGCGAAGGCGGGUCUCUGGGCAACAACUGACGCUGAGGAGCGAAAGCGUGGGGAGCGAACAGG
rnacentral:rRNA from 1 species